rnacentral:tRNA from 1 species
UCUCCUGUAGCUCAGUGGUAGGGCGUCCGACCGGUGUGCGGAACUCAUAGGUUCGACUCCUGUUGGGAGAA